GCCUUCGUAGUGCAGUGGUCAGCACGCUCGAGUCAAAUUCGAGAGGUCCGCGGUUCGAGUUCCAGUGAGGGCA